GGUAAAAUGACUGAGGUUAAAGGUGAUAAACUGUAAAUUUAUUUAGGAAAAUGUUUUUCUUUUACUA
rnacentral:tRNA from 1 species